GUCGACUCAUGAGUCGACUCAUGCCUUGUGGGUCGACUCAUGAGUCGACUCACAAGCCGUGCCAAGCCAAAAAAGGUCGCGUGCCAACAGGAUUUUUGCAUGCCAAUCAGCUCAUUGUGCCAUGAGUCGACUCAUGAGUCGACUCAUGCACUUCAAACCUUCAUAACUUCAAAAAUAUAAGUCCAAAAAUAAUGAAAUCUUCAUCAAUAGAUCACAAAUCAUUUGCUCUACAAGAUGAUGCUAUCAAAUCAGAGUUUUGAUGAAAUUUCGAUUUUGCCCCUGUAGAGCAUAAGGACUUUUUCAAAAUAAAAAAUAUUUGUAUCCCUUCAAACUGUUUUGUAAUCAUCAAAAUCAAUCUAGGAGCAACAUCUCUCUAGUUUCUCUCUCUCUUUCUCUCUCUAAAAUUUUCUCUCUCUAGAAAUUUAUCUCUCUCUACAUUAUUUUUCUCUUAGGACUUUUUACAUCUCUGAAAAGAUUGAUAAUGAAUUUAAAUGAUCCUAAUGAAGGGUUUUGAUCUGUGAUCAUCGAACAGUGUACCGGC
rnacentral:lncRNA from 1 species